AUUGAACGCUGGCGGCAGGCCUAACACAUGCAAGUCGAGCGGAUGAAGGGAGCUUGUUCCUGGAUUCAGCGGCGGACGGGUGAGUAAUGCCCAGGAAUCUGCCUGGUAGUGGGGGAUAACGUCCGGAAACGGGCGCUAAUACCGCAUACGUCCUGAGGGAGAAAGUGGGGGAUCUUCGGACCUCACGCUAUCAGAUGAGCCUAGGUCGGUUUAGCUAGUUGGUGGGGUAAAGGCCUACCAAGGCGACGAUCCGUAACUGGUCUGAGAGGAUGAUCAGUCACACUGGAACUGAGACACGGUCCAGACUCCUACGGGAGGCAGCAGUGGGGAAUAUUGGACAAUGGGCGAAAGCCUGAUCCAGCCAUGCCGCGUGUGUGAAGAAGGUCUUCGGAUUGUAAAGCACUUUAAGUUGGGAGGAAGGGCAGUAAGUUAAUACCUUGCUGUUUUGACGUUACCAACAGAAUAAGCACCGGCUAACUUCGUG
rnacentral:rRNA from 1 species